rnacentral:rRNA from 1 species
AUUGAACGCUGGCGGCAUGCCUUACACAUGCAAGUCGAACGGUAACAGGUCUUCGAAUGCUGACGAGUGGCGAACGGGUGAGUAAUACAUCGGAACGUGCCUAGUAGUGGGGGAUAACUACUCGAAAGAGUGGCUAAUACCGCAUGAGAUCUACGGAUGAAAGCAGGGGAUCGCAAGACCUUGUGCUACUAGAGCGGCCGAUGGCAGAUUAGGGAGUUGGUGGGCUAAAAGCUUACCAAGCCGACGAUCUGUAGCUGGCCUGAGAGGACGAUCCGCCACACUGGGACGGAGAAACGGCCCAGACUCCUACGGGAGGCAGCAGUGGGGAAUUUUGGACAAUGGGCGCGAGCCUGAUCCAGCAAUGCCGCGUGCAGGAUGAAGGCCUUCGGGUUGUAAACUGCUUUUGUACGGAACGAAAAGCCCCGGGUUAAUACCCUGGGGUCAUGACGGUACCGUAAGAAUAAGCACCGGCUAACAACGUGCCAGCCGCCGCCGUAA